AGCUACACAGCGAUGUGAUGCUAAUCUCCAAACCAUGUCUCAGUUCGGAUCGGAGUCUGCAACUCGACUCCGUGAAGCUGGAUUCGCUAGUAAUCGCGCAUCAGCCAUGGCGCGGUGAAUACGUUCCCCGGGGCCUUGUACACACCGCCCGUCAAGCCAUGGGAGCCGGGGGUACCUGAAGUCCGUAACCGCGAGGAUCGGCCUAGGGUAAAACUGGUGACUGGGGCUAAGUCGUAACAAGGUAGC
rnacentral:rRNA from 1 species